UAUUAUUAUUAGUGUAAAUUGUUAAUCCAGGGGAUUUAUAGUGUUCUUAAAAACUAAAGAAUUUGGCGGUAUUUUAGUCUUUUCAGAGGAACCUGUUCUAUAAUUGAUAGUCCACGAUUAAUCGUACCUUUUUUACUUAGUUUGUAUAUCGUCGUCGUUGAAUAUCUUAUUAGAGUUAAAAUUUUCUAGAUAUUGCAUGGAUUAAUAAAUCAGAUCAAGAUACAGCUUAUAGAGGGGAAGAGAUGGGUUACAAUAAAGUUAUUUAUAUGGAUUAGAUUAAGAAUUUUUUUUAUGAAGGUGGAUUUGAAGGUAAAUUUUUUUAUUUUAGGAAUUUGAUUUAGCUCUAAAAUAUGC
rnacentral:rRNA from 1 species